GUCGAACGCUGGCGGCGUGCUUAACACAUGCAAGUCGAACGGAAAGGCCCUGCUUUUGUGGGGUGCUCGAGUGGCGAACGGGUGAGUAACACGUGAGUAACCUGCCCUUGACUUUGGGAUAACUUCAGGAAACUGGGGCUAAUACCGGAUAGGAGCUCCUGCUGCAUGGUGGGGGUUGGAAAGUUUCGGCGGUUGGGGAUGGACUCGCGGCUUAUCAGCUUGUUGGUGGGGUAGUGGCUUACCAAGGCUUUGACGGGUAGCCGGCCUGAGAGGGUGACCGGCCACAUUGGGACUGAGAUACGGACCAGAAUCCUACGGGAGGCAGCAGUGGGGAAUAUUGCACAAUGGGCGGAGGCCUGAUGCAGCAACGCCGCGAGCGGGAUGCCGGCCUUCGGGUUGUAAACCGAUUUCGCCUGUGACGAAGCGUGAGUGACGGUAAUGGGUAAAGAAGCACCGGCUAACUACGUG
rnacentral:rRNA from 1 species